rnacentral:rRNA from 1 species
CAGCCGCCGCGGGAAUACAGAGGGUGCGAGCGUUAAUCGGAUUUACUGGGCGUAAAGCGUGCGUAGGCGGCUUCUUAAGUCGGAUGUGAAAUCCCUGAGCUUAACUUAGGAAUUGCAUUCGAUACUGGGAAGCUAGAGUAUGGGAGAGGAUGGUAGAAUUCCAGGUGUAGCGGUGAAAUGCGUAGAGAUCUGGAGGAAUACCGAUGGCGAAGGCAGCCAUCUGGCCUAAUACUGACACUGAGAGACGAAAGCUAGGGGAGCAAAUGGGAUUAGAUACCCGAGUAGUCCCUGUCUCUUAUAC